GAUGAACGCUAGCUACAGGCUUAACACAUGCAAGUCGAGGGGUAACGAGAGGAAAGCUUGCUUUCCUUGUCGACGACCGGCGCACGGGUGAGUAACGCGUAUCCAACCUGCCCCCAACUAGGGAAUAACCUUGCGAAAGUAAGACUAAUACCCUAUAAUUUCCUCAGAUGUCAUCUGACGAGGAAUAAAGAUUUAUCGGUUGUGGAUGGGGAUGCGUCUGAUUAGCUUGUUGGCGGGGUAACGGCCCACCAAGGCAAUGAUCAGUAGGGGUUUUGGGAGGAAGGUCCCCCACCUUGGAACUGAGACACGGUCCAAACUCCUACGGGAGGGAGCAGUGAGGAAUAUUGGUCAAUGGGCGGAAGCCUGAACCAGCCAAGUAGCGUGCAGGAUGACGGCCCUAUGGGUUGUAAACUGCUUUUAUACAGGAAUAAAGUUAGCCACGUGUGGUUAUUUGUAGGUACUGUAUGAAUAAGGACCGGCUAAUUCCGUGCCAGCAGCCGCCGUAA
rnacentral:rRNA from 1 species